ACUAACGAGGAGGAGGUGAGGCUUUACUAACGAGGAGGUGAGACUUUACUAACGAGGAGGUGAGACUAGGGAACUCUAUUAACGAGGAGGUGAGGCUUUACUAACGAGGAGGAGGUGAGGCUUUACUAACGAGGAGGUGAGACUUUACUAACGAGGAGGUGAGACUAGGGAACUCUAUUAACGAGGAGGUGAGGCUUUACUAACGAGGAGGUGAGGCUUUACUAACGAGGAGGUGAGACUUUACUAACGAGGAGGUGAGACUAGGGAACUCUAUUAACGAGGAGGUGAGGCUUUACUAACGAGGAGGAGGUGAGGCUUUACUAACGAGGAGGUGAGACUUUACUAACGAGGAGGUGAGACUUUACUAACGAGGAGGUGAGACUAGGGAACUCUAUUAACGAGGAGGUGAGGCUUUACUAACGAGGAGGAGGUGAGGCUUUACUGACGAGGAGGUGAGGCUUUACUAACGAGGAGGAGGUGAGGCUUUACUAACGAGGAGGUGAGACUAGGGAACUCUAUUAACGAGGAGGUGAGGCUUUACUAACGAGGAGGAGGUGAGGCUUUACUAACGAGGAGGUGAGACUUUACUAACGAGGAGGUGAGACUAGGGAACUCUAUUAACGAGGAGGUGAGGCUUUACUAACGAGGAGGAGGUGAGGCUUUACUAACGAGGAGGUGAGACUUUACUAACGAGGAGGUGAGACUAGGGAACUCUAUUAACGAGGAGGUGAGGCUUUACUAACGAGGAGGUGAGGCUUUACUAACGAGGAGGUGAGACUUUACUAACGAGGAGGUGAGACUAGGGAACUCUAUUAACGAGGAGGUGAGGCUUUACUAACGAGGAGGAGGUGAGGCUUUACUAACGAGGAGGUGAGACUAGGGAACUCUAUUAACGAGGAGGUGAAGCUUUACUAACGAGGAGGUGAGGCUUUACUAACGAGGAGGUGAGGCUUUACUAACGAGGAGGUGAGACUUUACUAACGAGGAGGUGAGACUAGGGAACUCUAUUAACGAGGAGGUGAGGCUUUACUAACGAGGAGGUGAGGCUUUACUAACGAGGAGGUGAGACUUUACUAACGAGGAGGUGAGACUUUACUAACGAGGAGGUGAGACUAGGGAACUCUAUUAACGAGGAGGUGAGGCUUUACUAACGAGGAGGAGGUGAGGCUUUACUGACGAGGAGGUGAGGCUUUACUAACGAGGAGGAGGUGAGGCUUUACUAACGAGGAGGUGAGACUAGGGAACUCUAUUAACGAGGAGGUGAGGCUUUACUAACGAGGAGGAGGUGAGGCUUUACUAACGAGGAGGUGAGACUUUACUAACGAGGAGGUGAGACUAGGGAACUCUAUUAACGAGGAGGUGAGGCUUUACUAACGAGGAGGUGAGGCUUGACUAACGAGGAGGAGGUGAGGCUUUACUAACGAGGAGGUGAGACUUUACUAACGAGGAGGUGAGACUAGGGAACUCUAUUAACGAGGAGGUGAGGCUUUACUAACGAGGAGGAGGUGAGGCUUUACUAACGAGGAGGUGAGACUAGGGAACUCUAUUAACGAGGAGGUGAAGCUUUACUAACGAGGAGGUGAGGCUUUACUAACGAGGAGGUGAGGCUUUACUAACGAGGAGGUGAGGCUUUACUAACGAGGAGGUGAGACUAGGGAACUCUAUUAACGAGGAGGUGAGGCUUUACUAACGAGGAGGAGGUGAGGCUUUACUGACGAGGAGGUGAGGCUUUACUAACGAGGAGGAGGUGAGGCUUUACUAACGAGGAGGUGAGACUAGGGAACUCUAUUAACGAGGAGGUGAGGCUUUACUAACGAGGAGGAGGUGAGGCUUUACUAACGAGGAGGUGAGACUUUACUAACGAGGAGGUGAGACUAGGGAACUCUAUUAACGAGGAGGUGAGGCUUUACUAACGAGGAGGUGAGGCUUGACUAACGAGGAGGAGGUGAGGCUUUACUAACGAGGAGGUGAGACUUUACUAACGAGGAGGUGAGACUAGGGAACUCUAUUAACGAGGAGGUGAGGCUUUACUAACGAGGAGGAGGUGAGGCUUUACUAACGAGGAGGUGAGGCUUUACUAACGAGGAGGUGAGACUUUACUAACGAGGAGGUGAGACUAGGGAACUCUAUUAACGAGGAGGUGAGGCUUUACUAACGAGGAGGUGAGGCUUUACUAACGAGGAGGUGAGACUUUACUAACGAGGAGGUGAGACUUUACUAACGAGGAGGUGAGACUAGGGAACUCUAUUAACGAGGAGGUGAGGCUUUACUAACGAGGAGGAGGUGAGGCUUUACUGACGAGGAGGUGAGGCUUUACUAACGAGGAGGAGGUGAGGCUUUACUAACGAGGAGGUGAGACUAGGGAACUCUAUUAACGAGGAGGUGAGGCUUUACUAACGAGGAGGAGGUGAGGCUUUACUAACGAGGAGGUGAGACUAGGGAACUCUAUUAACGAGGAGGUGAAGCUUUACUAACGAGGAGGUGAGGCUUUACUAACGAGGAGGUGAGGCUUUACUAACGAGGAGGUGAGACUUUACUAACGAGGAGGUGAGACUAGGGAACUCUAUUAACGAGGAGGUGAGGCUUUACUAACGAGGAGGUGAGGCUUUACUAACGAGGAGGUGAGACUUUACUAACGAGGAGGUGAGACUAGGGAACUCUAUUAACGAGGAGGUGAGGCUUUACUAACGAGGAGGAAGUGAGGCUUUACUGACGAGGAGGUGAGGCUUUACUAACGAGGAGGAGGUGAGGCUUUACUAACGAGGAGGUGAGACUAGGGAACUCUAUUAACGAGGAGGUGAGGCUUUACUAACGAGGAGGAGGUGAGGCUUUACUAACGAGGAGGUGAGACUUUACUAACGAGGAGGUGAGACUAGGGAACUCUAUUAACGAGGAGGUGAGGCUUUACUAACGAGGAGGAGGUGAGGCUUUACUAACGAGGAGGUGAGACUUUACUAACGAGGAGGUGAGACUAGGGAAC